rnacentral:rRNA from 1 species
UACGUAGGGGGCUAGCGUUGUCCGGAAUCAUUGGGCGUAAAGCGCGUGUAGGCGGUUCGGUAAGUCCGCUGUGAAAGUCGGGGGCUCAACCCUCGGAUGCCGGUGGAUACUGUCGGACUAGAGUACGGAAGAGGCGAGUGGAAUUCCUGGUGUAGCGGUGAAAUGCGCAGAUAUCAGGAGGAACACCGAUUGCGAAGGCAGCUCGCUGGGCCUGUAUUGACGCUGAGGCACGAAAGCGUGGGGAGCAAACAGG